AUUUGAAAUCUCCGAUGCCUGCAUCGGCGAGUUGUAGUUGCGAGAAGCACUUUCUAGGCGGAUCGGUGGUGCCUAAGUUGCUUGGAACAGCACGUCGCAGAGGGUGACAACCCCGUCUGUGGCGCCGGCGGCCGCCGACGAUGUGCUUUCGAAGAGUCGGGUUGUUUGGGAAUGCAGCCCAAAAGGGGUGGUAAACUCCAUCUAAAGCUAAAUACUGGCGUGAGACCGAUAGCGAACAAGUACCGUGAGGGAAAGAUGAAAAGAACUUUGAAAAGAGAGUUAAAAAGUACGUGAAACCGUUGAAAGGGAAACGAAUGGACUCAGCAAUGCGCCCUUUGAGAUUCAGCCGGCGGGCGGUCUUGGCCCCGGGUUUGCGGAUCUGAAUGGACCGCGGCCCUCGGCUCUCGAUCUCCCCCGCCGUCGCACUUCUCUGGGGCGCGCGUCAACGUCGGUUGGGACUGGGUCUGAAAGGUGCCGGGAAGGUAGGAGCGGGCCUCCGGGCCGGCUCUGUUACAGCCCGGCUCUCCUUCAUGGCUCGGGCCCGACCGAGGCGGUUGCAGGGCAUGCCUCUUGUGGCUAGGGUGCCGCCCUUCCGGCCGGCUGUUCCAAUGCGGUGGACUGCUUGCAGUGCUCGGCGACGGCUGCCGGUCGUUGGGGUGGUGAUCUCGUAUCAUGCCCUUGGGACGUUGGCGGUCAUAUGGGUCCAUCCGACCCGUCUUGAAACACGGACCAAGGAGUCUAACAUGUGCGCGAGUCUUAGGGUGAGCGAAACCCCGAGGCGCAAUGAAAGUGAAGGCGGCUCCGGCCGCUGAGGUGAGAUCCGUUCGCUCCGCGCGGGCGGCGCAUCAUCGACCGACCUAUUCUACUCUUAGGAAGGUUUGAGUAAGA
rnacentral:rRNA from 1 species